AGUGAACGCUGGCGGUAGGCCUAACACAUGCAAGUCGAACGGCAGCACAGUAAGAGCUUGCUCUUACGGGUGGCGAGUGGCGGACGGGUGAGGAAUACAUCGGAAUCUACUUUUUCGUGGGGGAUAACGUAGGGAAACUUACGCUAAUACCGCAUACGACCUACGGGUGAAAGCAGGGGAUCUUCGGACCUUGCGCGAUUGAAUGAGCCGAUGUCGGAUUAGCUAGUUGGCGGGGUAAAGGCCCACCAAGGCGACGAUCCGUAGCUGGUCUGAGAGGAUGAUCAGCCACACUGUAACUGAGACACGGUCCAGACUCCUACGGGAGGCAGCAGUGGGGAAUAUUGGACAAUGGGCGCAAGCCUGAUCCAGCCAUACCGCGUGGGUGAAGAAGGCCUUCGGGUUGUAAAGCCCUGUUGUUGGGAAAGAAAAGCAGCAGGUUAAUACCCCGCUGUUCUGACGGUACCCAAAGAAUAAGCACCGGCUAACUUCGUG
rnacentral:rRNA from 1 species